rnacentral:rRNA from 1 species
GGUUAAGCGAAUAAGCGUACACGGUGGAUGCCUAGGCAAUCAGAGGCGAUGAAGGACGUGCUAAUCUGCGAAAAGCGUCGGUAAGGUGAUAUGAACCGUUAUACCCGACGAUAUCCGAAUGGGGAAACCCAGUAUCCAAUGGAUACUAUCAUUAACUGAAUCCAUAGGUUAAUGAGGCGAACCGGGAGAACUGAAACAUCUCAGUACCCCGAGGAAAAGAAAUCAACCGAGAUUCCCCUAGUAGCGGCGAGCGAACGGGGAGCAGCCCAGAGUCUUAAUCAAUAGCAGUGUCAGGAGAACGGUCUGGAAAGUCCGGCAGUAAAGGGUGAUAGCCCCGUAUCUGAAGAUGCUGUUGUUGUGAACUCGACGAGUAGGGCGGGACACGUGUUAUCCUGUCUGAAUAUGGGGGGACCAUCCUCCAAGGCUAAAUACUCCUGAUUGACCGAUAGUGAACCAGUACCGUGAGGGAAAGGCGAAAAGAACCCCGGCGAGGGGAGUGAAAAAGAACCUGAAACCGUGUACGUACAAGCAGUAGGAGCCUCUUUAUGGGGUGACUGCGUACCUUUUGUAUAAUGGGUCAGCGACUUAUAUUCUGUAGCAAGGUUAACCGUAUAGGGGAGCCGUAGGGAAACCGAGUCUUAACUGGGCGAAUGAGUUGCAGGGUAUAGACCCGAAACCCGGUGAUCUAUCCAUGGGCAGGUUGAAGGUUGGGUAACACUAACUGGAGGACCGAACCGACUAAUGUUGAAAAAUUAGCGGAUGACUUGUGGAUGGGGGUGAAAGGCCAAUCAAACCGGGAGAUAGCUGGUUCUCCCCGAAAGCUAUUUAGGUAGCGCCUCGUGAAUUCAUCUUCGGGGGUAGAGCACUGUUUCGACUAGGGGGUCAUCCCGACUUACCAACUCGAUGCAAACUGCGAAUACCGAAGAAUGUUAUCACGGGAGACACACGGCGGGUGCUAACGUCCGUCGUGAAGAGGGAAACAACCCAGACCGCCAGCUAAGGUCCCAAAGUCAUGGUUAAGUGGGAAACGAAGUGGGAAGGCUCAGACAGCCAGGAUGUUGGCUUAGAAGCAGCCAUCAUUUAAAGAAAGCGUAAUAGCUCACUGGUCGAGUCGGCCCGCGCGGAAGAUGUAACGGGGCUAAACCAUGCACCGAAGCUGCGGCAGCGACACAAAGUGUUGUUGGGUAGGGGAGCGUUCUGUAAGCCUGCGAAGGUGUACUGUGAGGUAUGCUGGAGGUAUCAGAAGUGCGAAUGCUGACAUAAGUAACGAUAAUGCGGGUGAAAAACCCGCACGCCGGAAGACCAAGGGUUCCUGUCCAACGUUAAUCGGGGCAGGGUGAGUCGACCCCUAAGGCGAGGCUGAAAAGCGUAGUCGAUGGGAAACGGGUUAAUAUUCCCGUACUGGUGGUAACUGCGAUGGGGGAACGGAGAAGGCUAGGUUGUCCGGGCGACGGUCGUCCCGGUUCAAGCAGGUAGGCAGAGUGAUUAGGCAAAUCCGGUCACUUAAUGCUGAGAUGUGAUGACGAACUACCAAGGUGGUGAAGCAAUUGAUGCCCCGCUUCCAGGAAAAGCCUCUAAGCUUCAGGUUACCAACAAUCGUACCCCAAACCGACACAGGUGGUCAGGUAGAGAAUACUCAGGCGCUUGAGAGAACUCGGGUGAAGGAACUAGGCAAAAUGGUGCCGUAACUUCGGGAGAAGGCACGCUGGCGGUAGGUAAAGUCCCUUGCGGACGGCGCUGAAGCCAGUCGAAGAUACCAGCUGGCUGCAACUGUUUAUUAAAAACACAGCACUGUGCAAACACGAAAGUGGACGUAUACGGUGUGACGCCUGCCCGGUGCUGGAAGGUUAAUUGAUGGGGUUAGCGCAAGCGAAGCUCCUGAUCGAAGCCCCAGUAAACGGCGGCCGUAACUAUAACGGUCCUAAGGUAGCGAAAUUCCUUGUCGGGUAAGUUCCGACCUGCACGAAUGGCGUAAUGAUGGCCAGGCUGUCUCCACCCGAGACUCAGUGAAAUUGAACUCGCUGUGAAGAUGCAGUGUACCCGCGGCAAGACGGAAAGACCCCGUGAACCUUUACUAUAGCUUGACACUGAACAUUGAGCCUUGAUGUGUAGGAUAGGUGGGAGGCUUUGAAGUGUGGACGCCAGUCUGCAUGGAGCCAACCUUGAAAUACCACCCUUUAACGUUUGAUGUUCUAACCUAGGCCCAUAAACUGGGUCGGGGACCGUGUCUGGUGGGUAGUUUGACUGGGGCGGUCUCCUCCUAAAGAGUAACGGAGGAGCACGAAGGUUGGCUAAGCAUGGUCGGACAUCAUGCGGUUAGUGCAAAGGCAUAAGCCAGCUUGACUGCGAGAGUGACGGCUCGAGCAGGUACGAAAGUAGGUCUUAGUGAUCCGGUGGUUCUGAAUGGAAGGGCCAUCGCUCAACGGAUAAAAGGUACUCCGGGGAUAACAGGCUGAUACCGCCCAAGAGUUCAUAUCGACGGCGGUGUUUGGCACCUCGAUGUCGGCUCAUCACAUCCUGGGGCUGAAGUAGGUCCCAAGGGUAUGGCUGUUCGCCAUUUAAAGUGGUACGCGAGCUGGGUUUAGAACGUCGUGAGACAGUUCGGUCCCUAUCUGCCGUGGGCGUUGGAAGAUUGAGAGGGGUUGCUCCUAGUACGAGAGGACCGGAGUGAACGCACCACUGGUGUUCGGGUUGUCAUGCCAAUGGCAUUGCCCGGUAGCUAAGUGCGGAAGAGAUAACCGCUGAAAGCAUCUAAGCGGGAAACUUGCCUCGAGAUGAGUCUUCCCUGUCGCUUUAAGUGACCUAAAGGAACGUUUAAGACUAAGACGUUGAUAGGCUGGGUGUGUAAGCGUAGCGAUACGUUGAGCUAACCAGUACUAAUGAACCGUGAGGCUUAACCUG